rnacentral:rRNA from 1 species
CAAGGCGAUGAUCAGUAGCCGGACUGAGAGGUUGAACGGCCACAUUGGGACUGAGAUACGGCCCAGACUCCUACGGGAGGCAGCAGUCGGGAAUAUUGCGCAAUGGAGGAAACUCUGACGCAGUGACGCCGCGUGCAGGAAGAAGGUUUUCGGAUUGUAAACUGCUUUAGAUAGGGAAGAAACAAAUGACGGUACCUAUAGAAUAAGCUCCGGCUAACUACGUGCCAGCAGCCGCGGUAAUACGUAGGGAGCAAGCGUUAUCCGGAUUUAUUGGGUGUAAAGGGUGCGUAGAUGGGCAAGCAAGUUAGUUGUGAAAUACCUAGGCUUAACUUAGGAACUGCAACUAAAACUACUAGUCUUGAGUGCUGGAGGGGAAAGCGGAAUUCCUAGUGUAGCGGUGAAAUGCGUAGAUAUUAGGAAGAACACCGGUGGCGAAGGCGGCUUUCUGGACAGUUAACUUGACAAUUGAGGCACGAAAGUGUGGGGAGCAAACAGGAUUAGAUACCCCUGGUAGUCCACACCGUAAACGAUGAAUACUAGGUGUUGGUGGUGAUAAGCCAUCAGUGCCGUAAGCAAACGCAAUAAGUAUUCCACCUGGGGAGUACGACCGCAAGGUUGAAACUCAAAGGAAUUGACGGGGGCCCGCACAAGCAGUGGAGUAUGUGGUUUAAUUCGAAGCAACGCGAAGAACCUUACCAAGGCUUGACAUGUACAGGAAUAACAUAGAGAUAUGUUAGCUCUUCGGAGUCUGUACACAGGUGGUGCAUGGUUGUCGUCAGCUCGUGUCGUGAGAUGUUAGGUUAAGUCCUGCAACGAGCGCAACCCCUGUUUCUAGUUACCAGCGAGUAAAGUCGGGAACUCUAGAAAGACUGCCGGUAAUAAAUCGGAGGAAGGUGGGGAUGACGUCAAAUCAUCAUGCCCUUUAUGUCUUGGGCAACACACGUACUACAAUGGCCGUGACAGAGAGACGCAACACAGUGAUGUGAAGCAAAUCCCAAAAAGCGGUCUCAGUUCGGACUGAAGGCUGAAAUUCGCCUUCACGAAGUCGGAAUUGCUAGUAAUGGCAGGUCAGCAUACUGCCGUGAAUACGUUCCCGGGCCUUGUACACACCGCCCGUCACACCAUGAGAGUUGGAAAUACCCGAAGCCUGUGAGUUAACUUUAUAGAGACAGCAGUCGAAGUAGAGCCAAUGAUU